GACGAACGCUGGCGGCGUGCUUAACACAUGCAAGUCGAACGGAAAGGCCCUGCUUUUGUGGGGUGCUCGAGUGGCGAACGGGUGAGUAACACGUGAGUAACCUGCCCUUGACUUUGGGAUAACUUCAGGAAACUGGGGCUAAUACCGGAUAGGAGCUCCUGCUGCAUGGUGGGGGUUGGAAAGUUUCGGCGGUUGGGGAUGGACUCGCGGCUUAUCAGCUUGUUGGUGGGGUAGUGGCUUACCAAGGCUUUGACGGGUAGCCGGCCUGAGAGGGUGACCGGCCACAUUGGGACUGGGAUACGACCCAAACUCCUACGGGAGGCAGCAGUGGGGAAUAUUGCACAAUGGGCGGAAACCUGAUGCAGCAACGCCGCGUGCGGGAUAACGGCCUGCGGGUUGUAAACCACUUUCGCCUGUGACGAGGCGUGAGUGACGGUAAUGGGUAAAGAAGCACCGGCUAACUACGUG
rnacentral:rRNA from 1 species